rnacentral:lncRNA from 1 species
AACCUAAAUUUAAGACAUCUCUAAAAUGAUCUCGAAUGGUCACCAGUGAGCAAAACGAAGAUUAAGGAGUGAUGACGUAUUAGGUAUGAUGCAUUUUGCUCACUGGUGACCAUUCGAGAUUAAAGUAGGGAUCCUUGACCCUGAACAAGGUCCAUUUCAAUAAUAACAAGUCAAGAGCGAACCCUCUGUUACUUUCAGAGGUCUUAUUGAGCAAAGUGCCGAACCCUCUGUUACUUUCAGAGGUCUUAUUGAGCAAAGUGCCGCAGGCAGAAGGGGCAGACUACUUGAUUGAAGUCCUUGGGAGGGAGCAGCGAAGAGUGCUCAAUAGUCUCUCCAUACUGCGGGCGAAGUUUGAGAGAAAUGAUUCUAAUGAGAAAAGAACAAAACGUUGAAGGUCAGAUACGGUACAAGGAACUGAAUGUAUGCCUAAUUAGUGCUUUAAAGAAUAACUCACCUGUGGAGACAGUGGAUUGUGAGGGCUAACUCCAUAAUAACCAUCUCUGACUCUAAUUAGAGAGCUGCCCUUUGAAAGCAGAGCUCAGAGAAACAAUUUGCAGAUAACAUCGAGAGAUUUAAUCAUAUGCCUCCUAUUUGAAAUUAUUAGCUGCUGCUGUGCAGACAUAUAAUCAUUAAUCUACCAGGUGAAAAAUAGAAAACUCAGCCUUCCCACUACCUCUUCUUCUCUAUUAAAAACAUUUUUUCUCUGAUUGGUUGUUUUCUAACUGGGAAACUUACUGCUUACAUGGUGGCAUAUCUCCCUGCUGCUAAACUAUUAAUCGUUCAAAUGUCCUGAGGUGAUAGUGUGGAAAAGCAGCCUCCUGGGAGUUUCUCAUAACCCCUACAUCACUGUACAGGAGCCUGGGAAGUGGACCUGGCUCUGCAGCCCUGGGAUCAGAGACUUUCUCGUGCCAGGUGCAGGGAAGAGGGGGCUAAGGAAGUAUGAAUGCCCAGGGUUACCUGCGCCCCCCAUCCAAGUGCCCUGAGCCCUACACCCCUGGGGUACAGAGCAGGGACAGGGAAGAGAAAGCGGUGGAGUCUGUGGACCCAUCACACUUCACUUGGCCUGGGAUGCCCACCCCUAUUUCACCUGCCAUGGUGGCUGGCUCAGUCCCAGAGCAAGGGGCUUAGGGGAUCCCUGGGGCUGAUGGGCCUGAGAAGGGGGAACUGAACUGAAGGCCAGCCCAUGGGCUAUCUUUAUUGCCUAUGAUCCAGCCUUUUAGCUAAGAGAGUCAGCCCAGAGGAGCUGGGGAGAGGGAGCCCAAAGGCGGUGGCAGCAAACCCAGGUAGGUGUUGUGCUCUAUAGCCCAUACCCUGUCCCUCCUCCCACAAGCCUUAAGGACCAGACUGGCUUCCUUCAAAGAUGAACAGCAAUGGGGAGGACUCUGACUGGGGCCAGAUACUAAACAGCUGGGCAGGAAGAAGUUUCAAUCCCUAGCCUGGGAACUUCUGCAUCGAGAGUGCAGCCAAAACAAAAGACAAACCACACACAUCAAACUGUUUACCACCAGGUGAGUGAGGACAGGCCUAUGUGUUGUGUAUUUAAAGGAUUCCUAAGCUGUAUCUGUUAUAUGUUUUUUCUUUUAAAGGGAUUAAAAACAAAUGUAAGAAAGUACAUAGUUAAAUUUGAGUUGUGGGAACACAGCUGCCUUUCGUAAGUAUUCUUUGUACUUUUCCUGUGUCUUUACAUUUUUUUCAAAAUUGUAAAAAGGAAAUAAGAAAUCAUUCAAAGAAAUAGCAUUACUAAACAUUACUAAACAAAAUUAAAGUCAAGACAAGCAGGUGCUCUUAGGAAAAAAAGCUGAAGGAAGAGAUCUAAAGGCUCCAAGGAGAGACUGCAGGACAAGGACAGAAGGGCAAGGAACAGGUGGAGAGAAGGGCCUGGAGGGGAAGCUACAACCGGAGCUUCAGACAUAGGAGGAGCAGGUGAGAACUGCAGUCCUGGACACCAUGAGCAAACCUGGAACUGCUCAGGACAGUGUGCAUGCACCGUGCAAAGUGGCUAAGUGACUCAGGAGCUGGGGAAGGAUGUGGAGACAAUGGGAAACAAUAUGUGUACAACUGGUGGUCUUAAAUAAAAAAAAAACAGAAGAAUUAAAGGGGAAAAAGUUAAAAGAAUGCAUAAAGAUUCUUUAAAAAUUGAAAAAAUUUUGGAGUUCCCUAGUGGCUCAGCAGGUUAAAGAUCUGGUGUUGGCUCUGCUGUGGCUUGGGUUCAAUCCCUGCCCCAGAACUUCUGCAUGCCCCAAGAGCAGCCAAAACAGAAAAAGGAAAAGAAAAAAAUUUAUCUGUUGGUCUUAAGUUCUAGGAAAAACAAGUGAUACAAGAAGACAGAGCUAAAAUAUCUUAAGUAACUUAACUUCAAGGAUAAAGACCCUGGUGUCUAGAAAGACAAGUAUCAAAGGCAGGAAGAGGUCCAGAAGCCAGAGCUUAGUGAGGGGCCUGGGGGUUCCAGGCAGAGGGAGGGGGUCUUCACAGCCUGCUGGGUCCUCGUGGGCCUUGGGUGGGGAUAGAGGUGACUUUCGCCAAAGGAACCAAAGGGAUAGAGGUGACCCUCGCCAAAGGGAGCUUCUCCAAUGGCCUGAUCACAGGUGUGCAUGGCCUGUAUUGGGCUGAACUCAGGAGGAAAGCUUGGGAAGGACCUCUAAGGAGAGUCAGCUCAUCUUCCAUUUGCUGACAAAACUGGCCCAGGGGCUUAACGAUUUUCCCAAUACUCCAUAGCUGAUUAGAGAGCCAGAACCCGUUCUAGCUUUUAUUGGAUCCUUCAAAGGCUGCUCUUUGUUGGAAGAGGCAAAUAUAUAAUAUUUGUGUCUUUCUCCAUUUAAUUUUUUAAAAUAUUGUGUUUUAAAAAUAUUUUAUAUUCAUAUAUUUAGAUUUGGAUUAUAUAUUUACAUAAAAUAUUAAUAUAUAAUCUAUGUUACUACAUAGAAUAUUCCAUACUAUAUAUAGCAUAGAUAUAUAUUAUAGUAUGUGUAACUAAUAAUGUAUAGGAUUAAAUUCUUUAUAUACAAUAUGGUAUAGAUUAUAUACAACAUAGUAUUACCACAUUUAUAUAUAGUAUAUGGUACAUGGUAUAGUAUACAGUAUAUAUGAUAUACUAUAGUAUAUGGUAUAUUUAAUACAUUAUAUGUCAUCUAUUAUAUAAUAUAUAUUCAUAAAUUAUUUGAUAAUGGUAUAAUUAUAUAACUUUAUACUACAUAAGUAUAUUAUAAAUACGUGAUUACAUAUAAUGAUAGUAUAACACUAUUAUAAAUACAUGAUUACAUAUAACGAUAAUAUAACACAUCAUAAUAUGUAAUGCACAUCAUGUCCCUGUACAAAGAACAAUGCCAGCGGCUCACUCCGUGGCACCUGCCCUCCAUGCUCACUCAUCCUGGCGGCAUCUCUGCCUCUGCUGCUUCCUCCUCCUCCUCCUCCAUCCCAGGACCUUCAACAUCCUCCCCGCAGGCUCUUCUACAGCCUCCUGUGUCCCAGGGUUACAUCUCCAUCUGUGACCAGAAUGCUUUUGAAUUUCCUCACUGAAGGUGUUUCUCUCACUUUCUACAAUGUUACAGCAAAGCUCACUUCUUCCCUUUCAAGCUCAGAGUCCCGCUCCCCACAGAUCACAUCACUGGUGGCAUCUGCAGAAAAUC